UACGGAAUGUGCAAACGUUAUUCGGAAUCACUGGGCUUAAAGAGUCCGUAGGCGGCAUGUUAGGUGAGGUGUGAAAUCCCCCGGCUCAACCGAGGAAUUGCGCUUCAAACCGGCAUGCUAGAGGAAGAUAGAGGUGGGCGGAACUGAUGGUGGAGCGGUGAAAUGCGUUGAUAUCAUCAGGAACACCGGAGGCGAAAGCGGCCCACUGGGUCUUUUCUGACGCUGAGGGACGAAAGCUAGGGGAGCGAACGGG
rnacentral:rRNA from 1 species